AGGGUUUGAUCCUGGCUCAGAACGUACGCUGGCGGCACGCCUAACACAUGCAAGUCGAACGAAGUAGCAAUACUUAGUGGCAGACGGGUGAGUAACAUGUGGGUAUCUGCCCUUUGGCCUGGAAUAACACGAGGAAACUUGUGCUAAUACCGGAUAAGUCUUUACGGAGAAAGCUUUAUGCACCAUUGGAUGAGCCCGCACUUGAUUAGUUUGUUGGUGGGGUAAUGGCCUACCAAGACUGUGAUCAAUAGCUGAUUUGAGAGGAUGAUCAGCCACAUUGGGACUGAGACACGGCCCAAACUCCUACGGGAGGCAGCAGUGGGGAAUCUUGCACAAUGGAGGAAACUCUGAUGCAGCGAUGCCGCGUGAGUGAAGAAGGCCCUUGGGUUGUAAAGCUCUUUCGUCGGGGAAGAAAAUGACUGUACCCGAAUAAGAAGGUCCGGCUAACUUCGUGCCAGCAGCCGCGGUAAUACGAAGGGACCUAGCGUAGUUCGGAAUUACUGGGCUUAAAGAGUUCGUAGGUGGUUGAAAAAGUUAGUGGUGAAAUCCCAGAGCUUAACUCUGGAACUGCCAUUAAAACUUUUCAGCUAGAGUAUGAUAGAGGAAAGCAGAAUUUCUAGUGUAGAGGUGAAAUUCGUAGAUAUUAGAAAGAAUACCAAUUGCGAAGGCAGCUUUCUGGAUCAUUACUGACACUGAGGAACGAAAGCAUGGGUAGCGAAGAGGAUUAGAUACCCUCGUAGUCCAUGCCGUAAACGAUGUGUGUUAGACGUUGGAAAUUUAUUUUCAGUGUCGCAGCGAAAGCGAUAAACACACCGCCUGGGGAGUACGACCGCAAGGUUAAAACUCAAAUGAAUUGACGGGGACCCGCACAAGUAGUGGAGCAUGUGGUUUAAUUCGAAGAUACGCGCAGAACCUUACCAACACUUGACAUGUUCGUCGCGACUCUAAGAGAUUAGAGUUUUCGGUUCGGCCGGACGAAACACAGGUGCUGCAUGGCUGUCGUCAGCUCGUGUCGUGAGAUGUUGGGUUAAGUCCCGCAACGAGCGCAACCCUCACUUUUAGUUGCCAUCAUUAAGUUGGGCACUCUGAAAGAACUGCCAGUGAUAAGCUGGAGGAAGGUGGGGAUGACGUCAAGUCCUCAUGGCCCUUACGUGUUGGGCUACACACGUGCUACAAUGGUAUCUACAACAGGAAGCAAGACUGCGAGGUCAAGCAAAUCCUUAAAAGAUACCUCAGUUCGGAUUGCACUCUGCAACUCGAGUGCAUGAAGCUGGAAUUACUAGUAAUCGUGGAUCAGCGUGCCACGGUGAAUGCGUUCCCGGGUCUUGUACACACCGCCCGUCACACCAUGGGAGUUGGUUCUACCUUAAGGCAAGGUUUCAAACCCUUGACCACGGU
rnacentral:rRNA from 1 species